rnacentral:lncRNA from 1 species
ACUGGAGCUGCCAGCUUUCAAGUCAUUUCCUCCUUUGAGGUUCAGGAGUCCACUGCUCUGAAGUCUCCACUGGGAACCCCGGAGCCCACGCGCUCAGGAUGCAGCCUCCGCGGCCGUUCUCAGACCUGGUCUCUCAUUUAGUAGAAGCAGUGUCUAGGGACGCUGGGGUGGAGAUGUGACUCUCCUGUGCCCUUCUUUGUCUCCCAUGGUGGGACCCACUACACCAUUAGCAUCUGACCCUUGCAAGUUAGCUGCAAAGUGAAGCAAAGGAAAAAAAAUAAUAAAAAGGGAAAUAAAAAGUAUAUGGAUGGGUUCAAACAAACAAAAACCAGGAGGAUUUGAACGGGUGAUUUUCAGAUGCCAUAAAACCGCUUGCCAGGGGAGGGCAGGGCUGACCUCUGACCUCUGCUGUGGUGGACAGUUGGAGCCCGGCAGAAACACGGACCUUGCUCACUGAGGUCCUUGGGUUUUGUGCCUUUGGGGCGGAGGAUGCCUGAGACGAUUUUGGUAAUGUUUCCUCAGCUCCGAUCUGGUCCCUACCUGUCAAAGUGGGAGGACAGAACUUGGGAGAGUUGUCACACAAGAGAGGGGCUGUCUUUUUCAGGGCUACUAUGGUUGAUAUUGCAACUCUGUAGAUAUGUAUGUAGACACUUUUAAAAGCACGUAUUUAUGGACCCUGCUGUAAAUGCCCCAUUUUUAAAGUUUUAUAACAUGUGUUAUUUAAUUAAUCAGUUGACUGGCUGCAGUAAGGGGACUGACUGGUCCAGGAAAAAGGGUCCCUGGAGACCCUCACAUGGGCAGGAAAACAUCCAUCAACGUCCAGUGUCACAGUUUUCCGAUUUACCCACCCAGCCAGACUCUGGCGUGCCCCUCUUUUAUUUCUUCAACUGGAAUUUUCUCCUUCUACGCACCCUGCAGUUAGUCCUCGAAAGCAUGGACUCAUGGCUGUCGCCAACCCCACUGACACAGUCUGUCCUACAGCUGGUCGCGUGCACUGUAUCCCAGCCACGCCCUGCAGCCGGGAAAAACCGCACGAACCCAAAGCCUUAGCAAACUGCUUUCAGUCAAACUUGGAAAAUGUUGCUGGGCUCGUGGGGGAUUCUCUCUCUCUCUCUCUCUCUCUCUCUCUCUCUCUCUCUCUCUCUCUCUCUCUCUCUCUCUCUCUCCCUCCCUCCCUCCCUCCCUCCCUCCCUCUCUUUGCAUGUGCAAACUGUGCUGGGUCACCCUUCAACACUUCCCAGAUUGUCAGGAAAACAAAGAGAAAGUUUUGUCAGACGAGGUGUUUCCUGGUCAGUGGCGGUCUUCCCAAGCUAGCGGAUUUCCGUCCCAGUGAAGAAGAUUCAGUAUUCUGCCAUGUGAAGACAGUGAACAAUAAAAGUGCUGAGCGAUUGUG